GGGCGCAUGAUCGUUGGACCCUUUCAGAUCAAUAAUUAAGGUUGGAGUGAGCACAGCGUUGAGGCUGGAUCGAGCCUGUAUCACAGCCUCUUUGGCGUCGGCAGUCUCCGGAUCAAGACGUGUAUCCGGUUUAUCAGAGAAGCAGUUCAUCAUCUUCACAUCAUGGCUUCGAGUCCAGUUCUUGCAGUCCAGAACGAGCGGAGGCGUCUCCGGGUACGUCGAGCACGCUGUUUUUCUUCGCCGGAGCGUAUCAGGUAACAAAGAAUAUUUUGGCUCGUUUACACGUUGGGCUACCAUGAGAUUAACUCCUUACAUUUAAAUUAAAAUACUCAGUAAAUCGACGGAUAAAUGUUGUCUUUUUAAAUAUGGCAGGAGGUACAAGAUUUUUAUUUCAUCUUUAGAAAUUUGUAUUAUGGGCGUGGCCCAUUGUUAUAGAAAUUGCUUGAUGGUAUAUGAACAAUGUGCUGACUUUGCUGGAUAAAUGUAACAAAAAGCUUAAAAUGUUCUAGCAUAGGAAUAUCACAGCAUUUUAUGUAUGCGAAAAUUAAUAAAUCAUAUGCUACGCUAUUGGUUUUAAUUUGAUGUGAGAAGUGCAGUAUUAGGCGAUAUGCAAAAUCGGUAAACAAUUGCAGGAAUAUUACGUAUAACGAGUUUCGUAGGGCCGAAUGAAGAAGAGGGAGCACACUAGGCCUCGUACUUGACUGGCCGAUAUUAUUGAUCAGUACAAUCAAAACAUAUUCGUAAGCUUCUCGAAUAUUAGCGAUUUUAUACAAAUAUUGACACUUAUGCUAAAUCAGAAUUUACUCUAGCACGUUUUCGUAGUCUUUUUUGAAAAUAGGUAAAUUAUAAUAUACUUACAACAUAAAUCAACUUAUACUACUAAUAACUUUUAAAAUUAAAAAAUGAAUAUCAUGUUUAAGUUCAGCACUAAUCAAUACAUUGCCCGCAGUCCGCCAUUUUAGUUUAAUGCACAUGCGCAUUUUGAUCGAAUUUUCCCUUUGUUCCCAUCCGAGUUCUGUUUCCAAUCAUUUUAGUUUAUUGGUAGGUAUGCACUUUUAAGCAUUUAGGUAGAUACAUUAUAAAAUAAUUUGAUUUUAACAAAUCUAUUAUUUAGGAGUCGUAUCCUUUUAUAGUUUUAUGGGCUGCAGACAUUAAGUAAUGAAAAAGGGGCGUGCCCUGUUCGCCAUUUUGUUUUAAUCGCACAUGCGCAUUAUGAUCGAAUUUUCCCUUUGUUUCCAUCGGAGUUCUGUUUGCAAUAAUUUUAGUGCAUUCGGCGGUAUGCACUUUUAAUGCAUUUCGGUAGAUACAUUCAUAAAGUAAUUAAAUUUAACAAAUCUUUUGUCCAUAAAUCGUGUCCCUUUAAAGUUUUACGGGCUCCUGCAAUAAAUAAAAAAAGGCGCGUGCCAUGUCCGCCAUUUUGUACUAUUCGCACAUGCGCAUAAUGAUCGCAUUUUCCCUUUGUUCCUAUCAGAGUUCAGUUUGCAAUAAUUUUAAUGCAUUGGGCGGAAUGCACUUUUAAUGCAUUUAGGUAGAUACAUUUAUAAAGUAAUUAAAUUUAACAAAUCUUUCACCUAGAAAUCGUGUACUUUUAAAGUUUUACGGGCUCCUGCAAUAAAUGAAGAAGGCGCGUGCCCUGUUCGCCAUUUUGUAUUAUUCGCACAUGCGCAUAAUGAUCGCGUUUUCCCUUUGUUCCUAUCAGAGUUCAGUUUGCAAUAAUUUUAAUGCAUUGGGCGGAAUUCACUUUUAAUGCAUUUAGGUAGAUACAUUUAUAAAGUAAUUAAAUUUAACAAAUCUUUUACCUAGAAAUCGUGUAUUUUAAAGUUUUACGGGCUCCUGCAAUAAAUGAAGAAGGCGCGUGCCCUGUCCGCCAUUUUGUAUUAUUCGCACAUGCGUAUUAUGAUCGAAUUUUCCCUUUGUUUCCACCGGGGUUCUGUUUCCAAUAAUUUUAGUGCAUUAGGCGGUAUGCACUUUUAAUGCAUGUAGGUAUGUAGAUAAAUUUAUAAAGUAAUUAAAUUUAACAAAUCUUUUAUCUAGAAAUCGUAUCCUUAUACGGUUUUACGGAACUCUGUAAUAAAUAAAAAAAGGCGCGUGCCCUGUCCGCCAUUUUGUAUUAUUCGCACAUGCGCAUUAUGACCGAAUUUUCCCUUUGUUCCCAUCGGUGUUCUGUUUGCAAUAAUUUUAGUGCAUUGGGCUGUAUGCACUUUUAAUGCAUUUAGGUAGAUACAUCCAUAAAGCAAUUUAAAUUUAACAAAUCUUUUAUCCAGAAAUCAUAUCCUUUUAUAGUUUUAUGGGCUUCUACAAAUUUAAGAAAGGCGUGUACCCUGUCAACCAUUUUGUUUUAUCCGCACAUGCGCAUUAUGGUCAAUAUUUCCUUUGUUCCCAUUCGAUUACUGCCUUAAUUUCGUAAUUUGGUUUAAUUGGAAGCUUUUUGCAGAUAUUAUCAUAAAGUUUUGUUGCUAUUUGUAGUAAUUAAAGUCCGGAAGAGUCCGUAAUGUGUCGUGCCCUGUUUUGUUCUUCACGCCUACACUGUACACCAAGCAGAUUUUUCUAUUUGUCAUAUAUUUAAUAAAAUUAAAGGUAUUUUUAUGAGGUACCUCCUACAUACCUUUGAGCCAUUUUAUUAAGAUAUUAAAUGUAUGUAGGACCUAAUUUGUGAUUAACCAAUUAAGUUAUUAUGUUUUUAUUAUCCCUUUUAUAAUUGUAUACGUAUCUAUUCAAUAGAAUCACAGCACUAGUAUUUUUACGCACAUGCGCAUUCUGAUCAAAUGUUUCCUUUGUCUUCGUGUGGGUUACUCGUUGCUUUCAUCUUUGUUUUAAAACAUUUUAAAAUAUGUUGAUUGUAGGUAUAGUAAUCAUACUCCUUCUAAUUUUUAUUUUAUUAGGAUCAUAAAAAUAGCAGCUUAGUCCGUGAAAGUAAUGUGCCACACCUUAAUCCACACGGCUCCACUUUGCAUCGGGAAAUUAUUUAUUUCCAUCAAAUCUUUGUAUUUUUUUGGGAAAUAUAGCCUAUUUACUGCAUUAUUAAAGUAUGUUUAACUAAUUUUGAGUAAUUGUAAUAUGUACUUUUCGUGGUAGGCUUCGUAGCAUGAAUCAAUAAAUGCUAGUAUCCUGUCCGCCAUUUUGUUUUUGAUGCACAUGUGUGUAAUAUCACCGGAAUUUCUCAUUGCCCUCAUAUAAGAUACAUUUCUUUAAAAGAAAGCAAGUGAAAUCAAAGAUACAAAUUUAAACGCUAAUAUUUUAUCUUUUGGAAUAACACGAAAAAUAUAUUUUUUUAUUUUAUGCAACGGCAGUGCAUAUACGUUUCCGCCUCCAUUCAUUUACUUUUUAGUUUCGAAAUUUAAUGCCAUUGAAAUAUGUAAUCGUGCUUUCGAGUCGCAAUUAUGUUUGGUGAAAACUGUAUUCUUUUAUAAUUUCUAGUACUUCAAACACUUAUCAAUACAUUGCUGGGUCUUGAUUCCUGACCGCCAUUUUAUAUUCUGCGCACAUGCGCAUUCUGAUCCAUUCUUUCCUUUGUCUUUAUAAGUGUUAUUUGAAGCUUGACUGUUGGUUUUAACAUAUCUGAAAUGUAAUUGUUUUAAAAUUUAUAUUUUUUUGCCAUCCUUUUAAUCAAGAUCUUACAAAUAAUAUUGAAUUCCGGAAAUUUACCGUGCCACGCCUUGAUCCCAACCCCCUCCGCCCGCAUCGAUGACGCAGCAGUAGUUCGCAAUACAAGUGCAUACUAGUGUUUGCUUCCAUAGAGUCGUUUCUCUUUUGUGUCUGCAUUUUAUUGCCAUUAAAAUAUUUUAAUGUACUUUUGAAUUUAAGUAAAAUUAUUGGCAAACCGUAUCUUCUUAUGAUUUUGUGAAAUCUAUAGAAAUAGUCCACGAUUCUGUCCGCCAUUAUCCAAAUUGCACAUGCGCAUUCUGAUAGAAUACUUCUUUUGUCUUCGACUUCUAUGUUCAAGUUUUGUUAUUUCUUUUUGAAAUAUCUUAAAUGAUAUUGAUUUAUAAUAGAUAAUUUUAAAUUUAUUAUCGCGAAUUGUUUGGAUUUCUUUUAAAUUUAAAAAUAUAGGUAUUAGGGAUUAGAUUUAUAUUGAUAUAAUACUUGUUAGGAAGCGUUUUGCACUACGGCCAGGUCCUCGCUCCUCGUCUUUUAUUUCUGUAUUUUGAAUAAAACAACCAAUUGAAUAAAAUUUUAAGAUUUAAUGAAAACAAACAUACGCAAUACACAUUACACAAUGAAGAUAAUUAGGCGGAGUUUAAGAAGAUCCCGAACCCUGGAGUACCUACCUUUGGAUCCGGACUUAAAUGCCAACACCUAGCUGCACAUAGUCAUCUUGAUGGGCACGCCGCCGGUUUUCCAUCACUAAGAAGAUGUCCUAUUAUAUCCUUUUAAUUAACAAAACAUCAUAAACAUUUACAUUUCUUCAUGUUCUAUACUAUCUAAUUAUGAAUAACUUGUGAAUUAUUUCAUGAUAUAGAGCGAGUGCACCAACUAAACCUCUAAUUACUGUUCUAUGAAAUAAAAUUUGUAAAAAUAAUAUCCAAUUACACAACACAGACAAUAAAUUAAAAAAAUACACUCCUUUUAAAAAUAAAAUCUUUUCGGCGGUUACGUUCAAAAUAUUAAGUACUUAGGUACUUAAAAUAAAAAUCAGCUUAUUAUUGAAAUCACUGUAUCUGUGAACCUUAUUAUAGUUACAAGUUGGUGAGAAGUGACUAAAAUACAGGUUCUGGGUCGUGAUUUGAACUUAUCUACUAACAUUUAAAAGAGUUUAGAAAAUAUUGCGAACCAUGCGUAUCAGAGCGAAUUUUAUAGCGGUGGGUGGGUGGAUAAGUAAUUAUCCGGGUUGGUCAAGUUCGCUAACUUUCGACACGUUCUGUUGCGCAAUGGUCUAUGGAACGAGUGACUGCGAGUUUGAUCUUGGGUCAAAUUCGUGUCAUCCGCCAAUAUUUUCUAGAUUAUUUUAAUGAAAUUACUUCAAGCAUUUAAAUGAACACAUACACACAUACACUGAAGAAAUAAAUUGCCAAUCCAGCAUGACAGACGUAUUUUCUAAGUGGUGAGAAAAUCACAAAUAUGUGUUUAGACACGAAGAGAAUUUAACGGAGGUGGGUGGGACGGUAAGUGUUUACUUAUCUGGGCCGUUAAGUUUCAGAAGAAACAAAAUGUUAAUAGAAAGUACGUCCGAUUGCUGGUUGGCUAAUUAGAUUUGGAAUAACUACUAACAUCUUUACAAAACAAGUUCAGAGUUUGCAACAAAACAUUAGGAAAGAUUUAACGUAAACUGACUGUCAUGUCCAUCUGAUGUUUCUAUCAAGAGCUUUUACAAAUUAUCAUCAGAUAGUUAGAACGGCUUCAGGAAAGUCUUGAAAAACCGUUGUAAUUUACCGCGACAAAACUUCGUAUCAAUGAUAACAAUAAGACCGAUAAUUCGGAAGAAUACCUCUGAAUUAUCCACAAAUCUGUAAACCUAGUUUUUAAUGUACAUUCCAGUUCAGGAAGAAAUCCUACUGGUAUUUGAGAAGUGAUCAAUCCAUGUCUCGUUAUCAACGGGACUUGGAAAUCAUAGUCGAAUAUAGCAGGAAUGGUUACAAUCAUCGUAGCUAGAUUGCGAGGUAUGAUCAAAUUUAUAUACCUUUCUCUGUCUUCGAACCUUAUGAAAUGCUAAAGCCGAUUUGGCCACAAAAGAGUUAAAAAGUAUUUAUAUUUUCGGUGCGAAAAGGCUAGCCGCAAUGCAACGUCAUUGCCCUCCAUAACAAUCAUCAGCUUUCACGUGCUAUUUGUGAAAUAUCAUCAUUAUUUGUGGAACUGAAUUGGAAUUUUCGCUAUCAAAACGGUCUUCCAGAUAGAUAAAGAUAUUUAUAAAUGAAAUAAUUUACAAAUCUAUUAAUAAACAAUUAUUCGAAAAAUCGCUUCUCAAACCAAAAUUUUCUAGGUAUUGCAGAGAACAUUUUACUAGUAAUAAUGACAUCACGAUAAUGGCGACUAUGGUGGUCAGUUGCAAAACAGAUAAAAAACAAAUUUUAUAAAAUUAAUAUAAAUUCUAUCUUUUUAUUAAUCAAAAUAAAAAUAUUUCAUGGCUUAAGGCUAUAAAUAACUUAUUUCUGCAUUUUUUGCAAACUUUUUUAAUCACCUUAUUAUAUUAAUGAAUAGAAGAUUACCGUCAUAACCUUAUGAUUUUGGGGUUUUGAGCCAAACCUAACUAGGUCCGCGUGAAUCAAUGUCUAAACUUUCUCUUUAGCAGGAAAAACCCUUUGUAUGAUACAAAGCUGGGAUUUAAGCACAAUAUGAAGAUGCAAAAAACCAAGCCAACCAGAGCUAAAUAAUCUGUUGGUGGUCCCUGAUCUUGUUGAAAGGAUUUCGGCGAAGGUUGUCUAAAAUGAAGAUUUGUGUGCUUUCCUUAAGGCCAAUUAGGCUCGGGCCAACAUCGGCCAGAUAUGAAGGGCACACGAAACUGACCGACAACGUUCUGUACGUUGUCAGUCAGUUUCGUGUGCCCUUCAAUGGCGAAAACAGUGUGGCCGUUUUUUUCUUCUUUACUAGCGAUUGCUUUGGCAAUUAUUCCUGUUUUAGCAGAGUUUAACUGUGACUAAAACCGAUUAAGAUGAAACAUAAGAAGAGAGACUAUGUGCGGAAUGGAGCACAUGAUAUUUGUUAGAAAUGGAGAAGAGAUAGAUUCGUGAUUUCGUGACCGGUUUCGGUAAUAAAGUUGACGUCCGCGCAGUGCAUUUACCAAAUUACACUCUGUCUGUAGGUUAACGCGAUCUUUCACACCAUAUUACGACAUGACCGAUAAUCCUCCUGAUUUCCAGGGAGUGAAGUAUAUUUUAUACCACGUUUCGAGUGGAAUAUUACGGUGAAAUUAUACCCGAGUACGGCUAAAGGGUUACGAGAUAUUGGGUCGCAUGUCGUGGAGUGAAUGAUCCUCGCAUGACCCUCUCCAUGAGUGGUUAUUACACUGAUCUAUGACAGAGUCAUGAAUUUUGGUAAAAUACCUGCAUGAUUACCCUAACUAACCUGAUAUUGUUGGAGGGUAUGGAUCAGUUGUAAAUAUAAAACCAACAAAAAACGAUUUGGUGGUUGCUAGAAUAACAAAAAGCGGAAACCCAACGGAUUAAGAUGUUUAUUUCAUCAAAUUAGCUGUAUUACUGGCGGUUGUUGCAUCAACUAUUGUGCUGAGGUCCCAGUUUCAUUGCACGGUUAAAGUGAUAUUGGGUUUUACGGUUCAUCACUGUGGAGGGCGGUUGGAUAGAUCCAACUUAUCCGGGCUGUCAAAGUUCGCUUACUUUAGUUCCCAUAAUCUGGCAGAAGAAAAAAUCAUUUCAGUAAUGGUACACAAAAUAAUCACAAGCUGCGUUAAACUUUAAAAUAAUAUAAAAUUCACAGAAUCUGUUAUACAGUACCUUGCUACAUAUAUUAUUGAUAAUGAUUAUAAAUUGUCAAGAUCUUUUUGAACAUAAUAUUGUGAAUAUAUGUAUGUCGCCUUUGGCAUGGAAUGUGAGAAUGAUUGUCGGCAAAUCUUUCUGCUUAGAUUUCUACGAGGUAUAAAUCGUUAAGUACACUAUUAGCUAAUCUACUUCAUUUUAUACCGGAAAGUAAUUGGUACCAGUUAGGUUUCUUGGGACGAACGAUGUAAACACACUAUCCAUACCCGAUGAACUCUCAUUAAACAAAACAAACUACUGUUAUGACAAUAAAUACAAAAUAAUUUUAAAUCUUGCCAACUAGUGACGGAUUUCGUGUAAUUGACACUACUGCAGUAUAAUACAACGGCAUCGUGGGAUCAUCGUCGGUGACUUCUUCCACAAUUCUUUAAAAAAAUUUACGGUGGUGGGUGGGUGGAUAAGUCCUUUCUUAUCCGGGCCGGCAAAGUUUGCGCACUUGAAUUGUGGAAGAAGCUAAAAUAAUUCCGUUUCAGGGAGGUGUCCAAGAAUUUCUUCGAGACGUUUUGUCGGCAUACUGGUUGGCAAGUUAGGUUGACAUCGUUUGCUUCUUAAGAAAUUGGCGCUUAUACGAACUGAUGCCAGAGGAAUUUAAAGCAAUAAAAGCUUUAACUUCAGCAAUAGCCAGAGGAAAUACAAAUACUUUCAGAUCCAAAACGUGCUAGAGAAAUUGUUAUAAAAUAAUUUUGAGCUGCAACCCGUGCAAUGAUGUGAUCGGAUCAAAUAUUUUGAACUGUGUUAAAUGCCUUUGGUAUUUGACUGCAACAGAUUCAUAUAUUUUGAUGUCAUUGUCAGUGUAUUCGAGGAAUCAAAUACCAAACAGGGAAGUAUCCGAAGAGAUAAUAUGAUCUUUCAAUAUCACUGAGCCAAGGAAAGGUAGACGUUGAAACUGACUGUACUGUAAACGAUGUAAAAUUCAUCAAAAAUUUCAGUGGAUGUUUUUUUACGUUCCUGUUUUAGGUUCUAUCUGGGAAGAAAAGUUCAGAUCCUAUAUUUUAUAUUUGAACUAAAGUUCAGAGCUCUAGGUUUUUAAUUGAAUAUUAUAUAACUAUUACGACUUAACAAAAUGUAGCCUCCUCUAUUCGUGUUUUUAUUGCUUAUAUUAAGUUUUUAAAAAUUAAUUUCAGUAUUUUUAUAAAUUUGAUGGUGUGCUGGCUUGUCUCUAGUUUUGAUAUUGAAUGUACUUACUUGUUUGUUGAGUAAUCAGUGUCCAAUGUGUGUUAAUUUGAAGUGCGUGAUCGUUCAGUUUACCUCAGUGACUCACUAUGUUAAGAUUGUCUGGGGAAGUCAACAAAAUAUUGAGUAUUUAAUUGUUAAAACACUCAACUUAAAAUGGGUAGUUGGUAGAGUAACAGGAUCAUCUUAUAAAAAUUAUAGAAAAACAAAUAAUGUAUCAGAAUAUCACAAUCCCAAAGAGUUGAAGAGAAAGCAACACUUCCAUAAGACGUUGAAUACGGGAUGAGAAUGUAAAUACCACAAAUAUCUGACCUAUAAUAAUCAAAAAAGUUGACAAAGGAAGAUAAACAUGAGGUUACAAAAUUAGUGAACGUCGGAAAUUGAUAUAUCUUAUCAGAAAUUAAUAUAUUGAAUUUCGAUAAUAGAUGUUUUGGUUUUAAAUAUCAUCUAAAUUACUUUAUAGAAUCGAUUUUAAAACAAGUUUGUUGUUAUGUGGUUUUAAAGGCGUGCAGUUUUUAUUUUCUAUUUUCAAUUGAAACCCAAUAUUCGGCCUAGUGUUAUACGAAAAAAUCUGUGACGUUUCUGUGUUGUUUAUAUUUAUAAAAAAAGUGUUGUUUAUAUUAUACAAAUAGAUACAAGCUAGCAACACCAUAAUCUAGUAAUUCUUCAGGAAACUUACUACUAAAGGCAAGAAAACUAGUUCAGCUAUUUGAAACAUUGAUAAUAAUGUCAGUUGCCAUCGAAUCAGUAUUAACUCAACAAUUAAUUCAGAAAAUUAAAUACCUAUGAGUCUGAAAUUAAUAAGUCCACGAAAAAUUGGUUAUUUUUUGGACUGUUUCUAUUCUUCCCGGACCAUGUUCUUUUUCGCUUGUUUUUUUUUCAGAAUUGAGCCACAUUGCCAGCACAUUGUCAUAAUUAGAGAAUAGAAGUAGCUUCAAUGGACGUUUUAUAUACGGUUGCGCGCGCCCUGACGCCGUUGGUACGAACAGGUAAAUUGUUAUUACUGUUGAUUCGUAUUUACGUCGUCAUUCGUAUGAACUCGUUUUCACACGUGGUUCUAUAGGGAAUAUAGCCAUAUUUGAAAAGACGACUCAUUGCAAUAAUACAAAAAAAUACUAAGUCCUGCUGCUAAGUUAGGAGAUAUUUAGGUCAAAAUUUUAUUAAAGGUUACGCUACUUUUGUGGCUGCCUAAUGCCUAAACGUGUAAACGAGCUAAGGUGUUCUUGGAAAAAGGUAAGUAUAUAUAUUAUAAGUAAUUUUUGAGAAAGAAUAGGUUCCACAACGCAUUUUAAAGCGUUGUGGACAGGUGGACCAGUAUUUCUCUUUGCCGAACAAUCGGCACAGUAGGUGUAGGGUGUAUAUUUGCAUAACCGUGUUGUGUGCUAACAUUUAUUUCUUUCAGCAUUAAUGAUUUUUUUAUUUAGGUACAAUAAAAAGGAAGAAGACGUAACUAAUAUUAUGAAGAUGGAAAUGCUUCAAAAGGAUCUAAAUGGGUAAUAAAGGUUACAUAGUUCAUAAGUAAUUUUAAUAAUAAUAGUUAUAUAGUUUAUAAGUAAUUUUAGUAAUAAGACUAUUUUGUAUACUACAUAAUUGUGUUAGUCCGUAAGUGUCUAUGUACUGUAUGACUUAAUAAUUGAUGUGUCGAUUAUUUCAAUAUCAACACAAAUGUUAUAACCAAUCAUCAACAAAACACGGUGAGUUACGAUCAAUUAUAUUAUUUUAACUCUCGUAGCACAUUUUCAUAAAAUAUUUCUUUCACCAUGCUGCCACUUCGGGACUAUGGCGCGGUCAUCACUGUUCCAACCGAGAUGAGGAGUUCUCUGGCGCAGCGUCAACAGUCAACCGUAGCGGACGUCGGAUGAAGCAAGAACAAAGCACAGGGCAGCCAGCAACAUCGAGAAGACCACAAGCGUGAAGAAAGCAGCGUGUAUUGAAGCUUCUAGAUUCUCAGCUCUCGUGGUCCGUUUCGGUUCAGACACUGUGUGAAGAGAAGGAAGCUGUGGCGUAACUUUGGUGAACAUCAUCAGGUACAACGACUACAUAUCCGAGGACUCCAUAUAUUACUGUUGGCAUUCGAAAAUGUCUAUUGUAAAGAUAAUAGGCAAAUACAGAACACCUACCUGGAAAAUUCACCAACUAUAAAUAUUGAAUGCAAUCAAUGAAGCAAGUUUUAAAAAUAAAGGAAGCAUAACAUGCAAUUUACUUGCUGAGGCGUCAUUGAUUUUUGGAAAACAUUCGGCGAUUAUUGCGGAGAAAGUAACAUCAGAGGUAGAGCGAGAGAGCUACUUCAUUAGCCCAAACACUGAGUUCUCGAAUGUUAAUUUUGGCGGCAUACGAAGAAGAAGCAUUUAGAGAACCUCACAACAUUAGCAAGUAUUCUGACGUUUCCACAGCGACCUUAAUGACAAGUUGAAAGGACUACACCAUACAAGGACCGCGAUACCGUCGUUUGACCAGAAAGCGAGGCUACGAUUCAAGAAACCACCACUUAUUCAUCAGCAGGAGCUACGAAUACAAUCAUCAAACAAGUGAUCCAGUCAGUGCCAGCCACUCAGCGAGUCGCCGAGCCGCCAAUUAGUCAGCCAACGACCCCAAGCUAUCAAGUCAGCAGAUCAGCAGUCCAGCCAAGACAGCCGACAUCUAAGGUGUUCGAUGAGAAUUCAAGUGUCAUAGAGACUUUACCGUAGGCUAAGUUGUUAUGUGGAUCAGAGUGAGCUAUUCAAAAUUGAGAAAACCGGCCAUUGAUAUUCAGUGUGGGUUCAUUUUACCUGCAGCUUUACCUUUAUACAAAAGUAAUAUACAUUAAUUUAUUAUUGAACUCGAUGUCGAUGAUGUACACACGGACACUAUAUAUUGAUAUUCUUGAGACUUUAGAUAGUUAAAAUUGGUUACAACUUAGCACGACAAUACUCUAUGUCUCGAAUUUUAAUCUUCUUUUCAAUUAUUAUACUCCAUACAUAAUUGACAAUAGACUAAACCUCAACUGCUAUUAAAUACCUACAUAGCUUACCAAGCUAUGACAUUUAAGGAUGACUUACUUUAUCGCUAUAUAUGGUAAUAUACCAAGGCACCUACCAGUUCUAAUUAGACAUGGGUAGGUGUUGGGGUCAAUUCCGAGGUCCAACACAUUCAAAAUUGUUUAGGCAGUAUAGGAUCUCCUAGAGGUCAGGUCGGUUGUAAGAAGCUACAUCGAUACAAUCUCGUAAAAAUAUGCAUGACCAAUGAUUGAAAGAGAUAAGUUCAAAAGGAUUAUGCUAUAUGUAUGGUAUCAGAACUCAUAUUGUCUUACUCUUAGUCUCUGAUAUUUAAUGUUGAUCUUGUUGUCUCCCACACGUUCUACGUAAAUAGCAUACGUACGGAAGGGUCUUUGAUUAUAGUUGAGAUUGCGAGGUGGAUCUGAAUGCAAACGACCGACGUAGGAAGUGGCAUGGCAUAAAAGCAGCAAUGAGACUAGUUGUGUAUGUGUGUCAUUUAAACAGGGGCCAUACUUUUUAUAACAAUUUAGACUCAUAACGGCCGUGUUACGUUAAAUUUGUGGAAUAUUAUGGAAUCGUAUCUAAAUUUCAAUUGGCAUAAACGCGAUGAAGUGCGUUACGAACAUGAAAUGGUAAAUUGUGGAAUUGGCAAUCAGGGCCUGGACAUCAUGCAUGAUCGCAAGCGACGACUCUGUGUCAGAGACCUCGGAAUAGAAAUCCCAACGCAUAGUUUUUAGGGAUAAUAGUAGCUUGAACAAAAGGUUAUAAUUUAGCACAUGUUGUCUUCUUUCUCCACAGUCCAUCUUCAGUUUUAGCAUUAUCAGUGAUAUAAAUGUACUAUCUGAGCAAAUGUAAGCAUAUGUUAAAAUUUAUAGUUCAGUAUUAAAUGUAUAAGUUUCGCUUUGGCUUAACGAAAUAGGAAGCAGAGUUCAACAGCAUUUCUGGUAGGUUAAUAGGGCCCUUCGAUACGUAAUGAGAGUUCAGAGAGAAACACAUUAAUUCGUGCUUUGAAAUAAGUUAUGAGUUGAGCCUUUUCCGCAAAGAAAGAUACUAUAAUGGUGGUUUGACAGUUCCGGCUAAUUUGUAUUAUUAACUUCUGUUUGUGGAUUUGCUCAUGAGAAAACUGGGUGAAGAUUCUACACUCUACAAUUAUAUUCAGAUGAAGUGUAGUUAUUCAAGAGAAAGGAUUUCUAGAAAUACAGCGAUAUAAUCAGAGAUUAACACAUUCAAAUAGACAAAAGUUUGAAAUAAUGCUUGAAAUUCUCAUAUCACGUACCUUUUAUUUAUUUUAAGUCUGGAAAGCUGUGAUAUACAGCGGGGUUUUACAAAAUAUAAAAUAUUUUUGACAAUGGACUUGACACCAGUCACAUAAUACAAAAUUAAGCCCGGCAAACCGUAGAUGCACUGACUGUAAUCUCUCCCUCGGGAAAUACAGGCAUGAAUUAUAUAACGUUACUUUCCUUAAACUGUUGAGUGACUUCAGACGCGGCUCAACAUUUAAGUCUAUUUCUUAUGCAACUGGGUUGAAAGUUGAGUGUAGUCUUAAUGUAUUGGCACUUAAAAGAGUGUUGUGUCUACUUGUUCUGCAUACGUACAGAUGAAGAUUUAAGGCACACUCUUGAACAAAUGGCCUUCGACUUGUUCCAUACUUAUCGGCGCGCGGGUUACUGGAAUAUGCAAAGAUUUAAGGUUAAUACGGAUUUAAGACUACAUAAGAUUUAUUUAUAUUGUAAAUUUCGAAUAGAUAGCUUUCUAAAAAUACGGUUAGCGCGCUUUGCUGGGGCAGAGUCUUACUACGGUUUGUUGGAAGAGAUAAUUACAUUCUGUAUGUGUGUCGCCUUGCGGGAAGAGGCUACGACUGCUGGUGGGAGGAUAUAUGUAUCCGUCCGGAUAGCGGCUACCGUUCACAAGGUGUAAAACCCGCCAUAGUGGCCCACGUAAGUGUGUCGCGUUCCGGGAUCAGUCUGUGUACAUCCGGUUCCAAACAGGCAUAGUUGUAUCAACUGGUCAGGGAUAAUUUAUAUGAUCUUGAUCAGUCGACAUUCUAUCGGACCUACUUUACUUUUCAUCAUGUAAGUGUGUACGUGCCCGUAUAGAGAACUCACUAUGCCUUCGUACAGACGCGUAAACUUAUGUUUGUGUUGCAAAUUGUGUCGGUGUUGCCAGAUCUUUUUAGUAUAAUUUUUCACAUUAUUGAACACCCUUUACCAAAAUCGCAUCUUUUAAAAUGACGGUACCUUUUUUAUUAAGAAGAAUAAUUAUUAUUAUUUAUGAUUAAGUAUAUCAAAAGUGCAAAGUGCAUGCUUUUUAGGUCAUUAAGUUCUCUUAUUUUCGGCAAAUAUUUUACGAAUUAUAUCUAUUGGCAAUUAAUGCUCAUUGCUCGCCUAGUUGUAUUUUUUUUAUCAGAUGUUAAAAAAAUCCGUCCAAAGCGAGUAAAAUUGAGCCAUUGGAGAAACUUCUUUUGAAAUGUGGAAUUAUAAAUUUUGUCUUUGAUUUUUUCGAAAUUUUAACCUACCUUUAGUAAUUUUUACGGGUAAAACUAAAACUACACGUCUAAGAAUUUUGAAGUUCUACUUAAGAAUUUCGUAUGUAGGCGUGUGAAGUUAGCCAACACCUACUAGUGAGGCACGGUGAAGAAAGCCCUGAUCUCUUAGUAGUAGAGGAGACCCAUUCUCUGCAGUGGCAUGUGACUAAAACAAAGCUGAAACUAUUAUAAUAAACUGAGAAAAUACGCAUGAAUUCAUAAAAGUUAUUCUUAACAAUGAGUUCAAAUGUUACGUCUAUGUAGCGAUACAUAUUUGAAAACUCAAACAUUUCAUACUCGUACGAUAUACGUGUGUGAAGGGGGAAGACAGAAUUGUCAAUUAAUAUGAGAUUAUCUGCAUGAUUGUACGACUGCUUCGGUGUCGUAGUUGUAUACUGCAAUGCUGAGUUAGUCAUGAUAUUGCAAUGUCUCAGGUUCGACCCCCGGGUCGGGCAAAAUUAUAUUGGGUUUCCGGCUCAGAUUUAGUGUGCAGUAUCGAAUUUCUACCCGCGAUAGGCUCGCCACCUAUCACAUCAUGGAACGGAUACACACGGCAAAAAGUAGGUGCACUAAUUGCGCCUCUGCCUACCCUUUCGGGUAUUAAUGGCCUGAAGUUUGUGUGUAUUCUCUGUAUGAGUCUGUUGAUCCUAUAAAUAUACGUAAAUAUAUGUUUAUAGGGUCGGAAAGGUCAGGUCUAAUGGUAUAAGGUAUAUGAAAAUACGAACUUGUCAGGAGAGCAAAAAAAUGUUUUUCGUGGAAUUAAGUUCCAAUAACGCCUCGUCUUUUUAACGCAAUAAGAGACGUAUUGUAAGUGUUUUGUUUUUAAGUGAAGCCCCACAAGCCAUAAUAAAUAUGUCAUGAUCAACUUCUUGCUACAUUUAAUCAAACAAAUACGUAAGACGGAUUAGUUUUUAUUGGCUUUUGUUUCUUAAAAGGUAGAACUUCCUAUGACGCAAAAUUAAAAAUUUUUUAAAUCUUAAUUCUUGGCCAAAUUUGUUGUGGAAACGUCAUAUGAAAUGGAAAAAAAAUGUCUUAUGCCAUUUUCGUUAUGGGGGUGCGAUAUCAUGUCGAACCUCUUGGUCGACAUCUGAAUAUUUAUUGGCGCUAAUAAUAAUAACAUGUACGACGAGUUGAGUUGUUCCUCGACGCAGUGAAUAACUACGAGUUGUGUACGCACAACUGUGACGAUUAUUAAUAUGAGCGCAAUAUGGAAGUAGCGUAACUAUGCGCUUGUUGAGUAUAUCAUGUCGCCUCUUAAUGGUGGUCGACAUUGGAAUGAUAGGUAGCGCUCUAAAUCUGUACGGACACGCGUGCCUACGUGGGAUUAACGCAGUGAACCACCUACACGGAGUUGUCUACGCGCGAGUGACGAUUGAUGAUGUGAGCGUAAUACGAGAGUAUCGCAAAUAUGUGUUUAUGGAGUAUAUUGCACCCCCGGGAGAUAAAGGCGUAAGAUAAAAACAUCAAUUUGACAAGAGCAAAAUAAUUGGUUUUUAAGGACGAAAAUGAGAAAAUUACAUUAACGAUAUUAUGAAAUGCAAUCGUAAGUUGAGAGCAUCGAGAGAUUUUGUAGAUUGGUUACUUUGAAUUAUAACUUGAGGGUACUGCGAGACUUUCUUUUGUUUAUUGGUUACCUUGAAAUGACUCGAUGCAACCAGAGACAAGAACGGGGUUUCCACUUACUAUACAUGGCAAUUUUGCAUCCAAAACAUGUUUGAUUCAUCAGCGUAGUGUUUGCUAAUAAUUGUGUGGUAGUGUAUAUAAAAGAGAUUUAAAAAGAUAACGUUUCUUUGUUUUCUUCAAAUAGAACCAUUUAAGACAUGUGUUGAAUAAAUCAAUGGCCGAGUUCUGGAUACUGAAGUAUUAUAAAAAAAAAAUUAAAGUGAAUAUAAUUUUAUUAAAUACGACAAGUUUUUGGUAAAGUAUGGUGAUAAAUGUAAAUAAUUCUUUGAUUCAUAUUUCCCAUAUGACAUGUAUUGUUCUUUAAGACUCUCCCUCUAGCAAACGGCCUUGAGCAUUCGUCGCAUACAUUUACGACGCACGAUUUGCGAUGGAAGAAUAAUUUCUUCAAAAAAACAUUUUUGGUCUUUGAAAAUUUUAAACUACCAAAAUAUUAUUUUUUAAAUUAUCCGUUCGUUCAAAAUUGAAAUUAUGUGUACUUUUUAUUGGCAUUUUCAACAAAUUUAUUGGCAUUUUCAUUAUGAAAUUAAUCAAACAAUAUCCACGUUAUAAAAAUGUUAAAAAAUCUAAGUAAUUUUUUUUUUCCAAAUGUAUUAUAAAUUUGGAUAAAAUAGUUUCUAAAAAUAUGGAUGGCGACGUAUCGCUGGGGGCAGGGGCUUAAGUCGAAUAUCUAAUGUAAUUAUGUUCAUACAACCGCCAAAAACAGCAUGAGAAUUCAUUAUAGCAACUCUAAAUCAUAUAGCGAGUGUACAUAUAACAACCAACAAGACAAUUUUCAUAUAACUUUCAUUCAAGCAUUCAUAUUCAUCCAUGUACAUGACGAUACCCAUCACUUCAUGGGAUGCAAAGAUGAUAGAGGUGCGAUAUUGGCUCAGUCUGUUCUUUUAGGCCAAAACAUACAUUCAUAAAUGUACUCUAUGUUUGUUUAUGAUGUCGUGUCAGUAUAUGCCAUAUGACUAUAAAACAGCAUGAUCUAAAUAGAUAUGCAAAAUCAAUUUAUGUAUAUUUAAAUUUGGCACAAUUGAUCAUAUAUAUAAAAUAUUUCAUAGAAUUCACCAAACAUGACAAAGACGUCUGCAUAGAAAGCCAUUUGCACAUGUCAUAUGUAUAUUUGUCACGUUUAGACCAAACGAGACCAUAUUUGUUUGUUAAUAGAAGUGGUUAUCCUAUGCCAAUUGACACAUAUGUAAGUAAAUUGUCGCUUACCUAACACCGCGUAUUUUUUUUUUGUUUAAAACGGAGUUAAAUAUAAGAACGAAGGAACAACACUUUUUAAUAUAAGAUUUAAAGAGUACAAAACUAUUACGCAUUAUAUUCCUUUAUAAUUGACUGAGUAUGAUAUUGUUCGAGAAAUUAAUGCAAGUUACAUAGUUUAAUCAAUUUAAAAUUCCGACUUACGCAGUGUUGUUGCUAAGCGACGAUAUGCCAUUUUAUGAAUUGCAUCUAAAAGAUGUCAAAUAUUUGUCAACAUGGUAGGGUAAAGAUAAGGAAAAGAGGGGAUUAUCAUUACUGAUGCUCAUUAUAACCCUCACGAGUGCCUCACGACCCAAGGCUGAUACACUCUCACUAUUGGAGCAGCGUUGUCCCUACCAGGACAGCUUAUUAUAAAGGCUACUUGGUACUAGAGAACGAAUUGACCUCGCAGCAAUAUUCCGGACUUUAGAGGUCUUGGAUUCGAUUCUCUGGAACCGCAUAAUUUUCUGUAAAUUUUUACAUAUUUGGGGUAGGUAGGGUAGGUAGGUAGGCUAUGUCUAAUAUAAUAUUUGUAACAUAUUUGUUUACAUGAAAAGUGUUGUUGUAAAAUGUUAUUUUUUGCUGGCAUUAUUGUAAAAGUAUGACAAUUUGUAAUUUUAUUAAUGUGGCCAGAGUAACCUUAAUAUAUUUACUAUAUCUUUUAUAAGCCCUUUUGGCUUAACGUGUUAUCAUUGUAAUAAUUAUUGAAAGAUUUCAUCAAAUGAAAUUGUAUUCAUUUAAGGUUCUUUGGCAAAAGGAUAAUACUAGAAAAUUUUAUUUGAAUUAGGUUAAUAGCAAAUUAAGUAAUUUUUGGAUAUGUAAAAUAUUGUCAAAUAAUGUCAAAAUGUAUAUAUUUGUGACUUAUAAAUUUGUUAUUAAAUUAAAAUGAGCAUUCGAUAAUUUGGCUCAUAUAACAUUGUAUGUAUAUCAUAUAACACUGUCAAGUUAUAGUUAUUAUGAAUUAAGUCACCAAAGAGGACGCAUAUGUUAUGAUAUUGCCACAUUAAAAUACAAUGUAUAAUAUAAGAAAGUGUACUAUAGCCUAGUUGGGAACAGUCUACCUAGAUGGAUGUCUCGAUUUAAAACGCAAAGCACAAACCUCUGACAUCUCGAUGACAUUUGUAUUGUAAAUAAAUCGUUCACUUUAACGGUGAAGGAAACAUCGCGACGUAUUAUACUUACCUGAGAAUUCUAUAAAAAUAAUUAUGAAAGUGUGUCAAAUUUACCUUACAUUUAAUUGUAUAGAUUAGUAAACAUUGGCUGUACUUAUGUAUGUGAUUUGGCAUUUUACAAAUUAUAACUAUAUUAGUAAGCGUCCGAGUGUGGCCUCAUUUGGUAACAUACCAACAAAACAAAAUUGUUUUCUAAUUUUAAAGCGUAUAUUUUAAUUAAAUUAUGUUUGUCAAGAAAUUACUCGAGUAAAAUGAUGUUUUUGGUUAAAAUUUAGAAUCUUGUAAUUCGAUUUUAAGUUCAAACGAGAUUGCAAUUGGCACGUUAUUCUUUGCUGUUUAAUAAAUAAUUAGUAAAGUACUAAUCGCCAUUGCGAAAGUGAAAAUUGGCAUAAGGAGGAUAUUGAUAAACACUACUUUAGUAGUGUUUUGCGUAAUACUUGCUUAUUUUAGCAAUGUAAAUUUUUUAAUAAAUCUCUAUCGUUUUUCCAAAAAUUCGGUUAUGGUUUUGUUAUAAGAGAAGACACAAACUAAAACAAUUAAUUCCAUUCUGAUCCCAAAAUCCGGUUACGAGAUACUAAAUCGCAGCCUUUUUAUAAUUAAAAAUAAUUUUCAUAUCAUGUAAAUGAAAGCGCGGAUCCAGAAUUUAGUGGGAAGUUGAUUUCCUUUUUUAACGGAAGGGGGUAAUCACCCCUAAAGUGAAGUUAGCUUAUUUUAUUGGCUCAAUUGUACUGUUGUACCUAUCCCAUCGAACUGGAUUCAAGCUUGUGUGCAUUAAAAUUAUAAAAAAAAUAUUCAUGUAUAUUUACUAUGAUAAAUGCCUUCAGCAUAAGAAAAAUUCACAAGUUUGAAUAUAUUUUUGGACUUUCAUAGAGUUUUAUUGAACAUCACAAAUAAAAAUUUAUUUUUGUUAC